rnacentral:rRNA from 1 species
GACAGCCAGGAUGUUGGCUUAGAAGCAGCCAUCAUUUAAAGAAAGCGUAAUAGCUCACUGGUCGAGUCGGCCUGCGCGGAAGAUGUAACGGGGCUAAACCAUGCACCGAAGCUGCGGCAGCGACGCUGAUGCGUUGUUGGGUAGGGGAGCGUUCUGUAAGCCUGUGAAGGUGUGCUGUGAGGCAUGCUGGAGGUAUCAGAAGUGCGAAUGCUGACAUAAGUAACGAUAAAGCGGGUGAAAAGCCCGCUCGCCGGAAGACCAAGGGUUCCUGUCCAACGUUAAUCGGGGCAGGGUGAGUCGACCCCUAAGG